GGGUGCAAGGGUGAUCUGGCUGUGACGUCUGUCACCCCAUUGAUCACCACAGUUGAUUUGGCUGAUCUAGCUGACUCUGUGGGAUUCCCCUUCCUCGCUUACCACUCCAUGUGCUUCUCUCCUGAAGCUGUGCACUUGGUUGAAGAGGGCAACCUUCCCAGAUAGAGGAAGACUAUUCUUUGGUCAAAGUAUAUGAAUAGAUGUGGUCCUCUGCUAGAAUCUCUAAACAAGUUCUCAAGGGAGCCAGGUGAUCCUAGCUCUCAGGAGGCUAAAGCAGGAGGAUCACCACAAGUUCAAGGCCAGCCU
rnacentral:snRNA from 1 species